UACGUAGGAGGCAAGCGUUGUCCGGAGUUACUGGGCGUAAAGUGUGCGCAGGCGGCCGAGCAAGUCGAGUGUGAAAGCCCCGAGCUUAACUUGGGAACUGCGCUCGAAACUACUUGGCUGGAGUGUGGCAGAGGAAGGUGGAAUUCCACGUGUAGCGGUGAAAUGCGUAGGAUAUCGAGAGGAACACCUGCGGCGAAGGCGGGUUGCUGGGCCG
rnacentral:rRNA from 1 species